rnacentral:tRNA from 1 species
GUCGAGGUAGCUCAAUGGUGGAGCAGUCGUUUCAUAAGCGACAGGUUAUGGGUUCGACUCCCAUCCUCGACACAA